UUGCUUUACGCUGUGUUCAUCGACUCGGGAGUAGUAGUUAUGCAACAUGCCACGAGGGCGCAAACGAAAACAGGACGAUAAUUCUGAUCGUGGAAAAGAUGAAGCGGCAGAGGCCGAGAAAGAAAUAUCUGCUGAUGAAGAUAGUCCAGUGAAAAAGAAGAAAGAUCUGUCCAAGAGCUUGACUUUCAAGAUCGAGCAUUGUAAAUCCUGACAGGUGUAUAAAAGGAAUGCAAAUCAGUUGUCCUCGGACUUGCUGAAGGCAUUCCCAAGUGCCCAGGUCCUUAUCAAUGAAACUAAACCACGUUCAAAGAGUUUUGAAUUAACAGCCGUGAAGGAGGAUGGAGAAGAGUUACAGCUUUGGACUGGUAUAAAGAAGGGCCCACCAAGAAAACUGAAAUUUCCAGUUAACAGUGAUCUUAUUGAGGAAGCAAUGAAACUACUCUAGUGGCUUAUCAUCACUCAAGGUUCAUGUUGAAGUUUAGUUUUGGAUAUUUGAGGCUUUGGCCUACAAGAAACUGAUUUCUGUUUUCUGUACAUUGCAACCAAAUAAAUGACAGUCUACGAAACAAUGGAGCUCUUUGCACCAUUCAUAGACUUGAUGUAGAGUUGGA